CAGCUGCCUAGGGGCUUUUCCGGCCUGGGCCAAGGCAGGAGGAAGCCCCAACUAACUCAUAGUCACUCCUCAGAAUACUUUUAUUAAAGGGGAAAAAAUCACCAAUGAUGAUAUCCAGUGACAAGCUUCUGCCACCCACACAUUCCACGUUCCACCUGGCCAUGAGCUGGUUUCAGUCUCAGGGCACAAGCAACACAAGUCAGAAUUUUUUUUUUUUCUUUUAAUCUUUGGGGAAGAAACAGAAAAGGAGGAGAAAGCAGAGUAACAAGUGCAGAUUAAAUAUGAGGCAGGUCCAGGCUUUUGAUACCACUGUGUUUAACUCACCAAAUAAUCAGAGCAUUAAAUGCAGGCAUAAUUUGUCAGCAAGCUCCCUCCAUUGUUCCCUGAAGCAUGCGGGGUUGGGGGGGGGUGUGGGCUAAUUCAAUUCACGUGGGAAUCGGUGUUUACAUCCACGAGUCCUAAUGGAAGGGCACACCAUUUUCAAACUGGAACAAAUAAAUCAUAAUGCCCUUUGCCACUAAAACCGGGGACCUUGCGAUGCCUCUCUCUUGGUGGACGAGCUACAUUUGGAAGGACGUUGUUUUCUUCAGUGUGGAAAUCUCCACUUGCUGGCUACUGCAGCAAGUCCCAGAAGAAAGCCAGGUGCAUGGCAGUCCAUCUCUCCGGCGGAACCCUGUUUCAUGGCCUGCGGGUGCUGCGGGGCGGUGGACACUCGCUUGUAGCAUCCGGAUGGAAGCGGAACCACCUCCGUCCGCGUGGCCGCGGCCUCCCAAGAAACCGGAGCAGGUCAAGGAGGCGCGGCCCAGACCGGCCAGCAGGGGACGCCGCGGGCCCUGUCGAAACAAAGGCUCGCGGCCGGGAGCCGGGAAGUGGGGGGCGGCACCGGGGGGCCGGUGGGGCGGGGGGGGGUCUCCACCCCGCGCCCUCCGCAGCCCAAACCCGCCCGCGGCCCGGGGGCUGACCCAGGGCAGCCCGGCCCCCUGGGAGGGGACGGGCGGGGGUGACCUGGUGUCUUUCCCAAGAUGGUUCCCACGGGCCGCGCGGUCGCGGGCAUCUGUCCCCGGGUCACCGACGGGCUUCCCCGCGGCGCAGCGCGGCCGCCCGGGGGUGCUGCGAGGCGGGGACCCCAGGCCCGCGUGGGCACAGCCGCCGAGGCCUGCGCCAUCCCGGGGGGCAGGUCCUCCCGCCCGCGCCGCCCGCCCCCCGGCCACUCCCUGCGGUGACCUCAUUCCGGGGUCGCGCCGAGCAGCCUGCCUUCCGCGCCCGGGACCUUGCAGGCUUUUGCGUUUGCACACGCGGCGCGGGCGGCCUCGUCCUUAG
rnacentral:lncRNA from 1 species